rnacentral:rRNA from 1 species
CCGCCCGUCACAUCAUGGGAGUCGCUUGUAGCCGAAGUACACGUGCCAACCCGCAAGGGAAGUAGUGUCCUACGCUAUGAGCGGUAACUGGGAUG